rnacentral:rRNA from 1 species
AGAGAGAGACAUGCGCGCAUAUCAAUAAGCGGAGGAAAAGAAACUAACAAGGAUUCCCUUAGUAACGGCGAGUGAAGCGGGAAGAGCCCAAAUUUGAAAUCUUCAAGGUUUUACCUUGACGAAUUGUAGUUUAAAGAAGUGUUUUCUGCUGAAGUUUUGGUAAAAGUUCUUUGGAAUAGGACAUCAUAGAGGGUGAGAAUCCCGUAUUUGACCAUUAUUUUCAGCUUUGUGAUACACUUUCAAAGAGUCGGAUUGUUUGGGAAUGCAGUCCAAAAUGGGUGGUAAAUUUCAUCUAAAGCUAAAUAUUGGCGAGAGACCGAUAGCGAACAAGUACCGUGAGGGAAGGAUGAAAAGAACUUUGAAAAGAGAGUUAAACAGUACGUGAAAUUGUCAAAAGGGAAGCGUUUGACACCAGUGUUGUUUUCUCGAAAAUCAAUUAAAAAUGGCUCGAUUUUGUAUUGUUGAGACCUUAAAAGCUCACUGUACAUUUUUCGUGUCUUUUUUAAUGCACUUCUCGUUUAACAAGUCAACAUCAGUUUCUUUUGUUGUAAAAGGGUCAUUGGAAGGUGGCUUUCUUUUCGGAGAAAGUGUUUUUAUUAGCCUUUGGCCUCUGCAAUCGAAGAGACUGAGGUCUGCAGCGUAGACUCUUCGGGGUUAGAUACAUUUGUGCUAAGUUAUAGCUUUUUAUAGACAACUUGUUGACUAUAAUUAGUCUUGUAGCUUACUCGCUUAUGCUAUUUUACCUACGCUUAGGAUGUUGAAGAUGUAGCACAUCAU